GAAAUCACCCAAAUUUCUCAUGGACCCAAGGUCAAAUUUUUCAAAAUCAAGGCCCAACUUCUUUUCAAACUCCUCAAACAAAUUUUCAAAGGCCUAACCCAAACUCUUGCCCAACCCAAAGUCCGAACUCAUUUCCUAACCCAAUUCAAACACCUUUGAAUCCUCCUGGUUUUAAUUAUUCGGAUAAACGUCUUAAUUCCUUAGAAAAGAGUUUGGAAGCCUUAGUUAAAUCGCAAACUAAUUUGACUCAAUCUCAACAUACUUUCAUGACAACCCUAACCCAAGAUAGGCAAAUUUUGCAUUCUAACGUGCAAGCCGUUUCUAAGUUAGAGGCCCA
rnacentral:lncRNA from 1 species